AACGUAGGAGGCGAGCGUUAUCCGGAAUUAUUGGGCGUAAAGCGCGCGCAGGCGGUCCUUUAAGUCUGAUGUGAAAGCCCACGGCUCAACCGUGGAGGGUCAUUGGAAACUGGGGGACUUGAGUACAGAAGAGAAGAGUGGAAUUCCACGUGUAGCGGUGAAAUGCGUAGAGAUGUGGAGGAACACCAGUGGCGAAGGCGACUCUUUGGUCUGUAACUGACGCUGAGGCGCGAAAGCGUGGGGAGCAAACAGG
rnacentral:rRNA from 1 species